rnacentral:rRNA from 1 species
AUUGAACGCUGGCGGCAGGCCUAACACAUGCAAGUCGAGCGGAGCGGCGGACGGGUGAGUAAUACCUAGGAAUCUGCCUGGUAGCGGGGGAUAACGUUCGGAAACGGCCGCUAAUACCGCAUACUAUCAGAUGAGCCUAGGUCGGAUUAGCUGGUUGGUGAGGUAAUGGCUCACCAAGGCUCCGAUCCGUAACUGGUCUGAGAGGAUGAUCAGUCACACGUGAACUGAGACACGGUCCAGACUCCUACGGGAGGCAGCAUGGGGGAAUAUUGGACAAUGGGCGAAAGCCUGAUCCAGCCAUGGCGGGUGUGUGAAGAAGGUCUUCGGAUUGUAAAGCACGUUAAGUUGGGAGGCGUUACCGACAGAAUAAGCACCGGCUAACUCUGUGCCAGCAGCCGCGGUAAUAC